AUUCACAAUUACUUCAAGCGUUACUAAUAUUCAUUCAGUAAUUAGAAGAAACGAUUUUUAUUGGAGGCAUUUUCACAAAUGGUUCGAAGGUUCAGACCUGCAAUAAGUUUAAUUAAUUCAAGCAACCAUGUACGCCCAAUGUUUCCUAUUGUCUAAUUGGAAAUUAAAGUGAGUGUUUUUUAACGGAAUUUCAAGUCGUGCUUUACUAACAAAAUUCCUUAUAUGAGGAACGAGGAAUUUACUAUAUAAGCAUUUUUAAAUUGUUCGCAGAUUCGGUUCUAAAAAAAAAAGAGGCCAUUUCUUCUUAGCUAUUGCUUUUCUAGUAUUAACCCAAUUACUGUAGUUUCGAAAACGAGCAAAAAGGUCUAUAAAACAAGUGUAGGGAGUCGAUCUCAGACUGCAAAUCGCUAAAUUUCAAAAUUUGAUAAGGGUAGAGUCUUGUGAGAAGGAAAAUAGAAUUGUCGAAUAUUUCAAUAGCAUCCUUAAACCAAAGUUAAAAAAAAGUAUAUAUAUCAAACUAAAAGCGUACCUGCUAAUUGCUUGAAGCAUUCGAUGUUCAACUCAUAAGCUUUAUGGACACACUCUACGAUGGUUAAGCAUGUGAUCUUCAUACGACGCUUUGCUUCCCGCAAAAUCAAUAUAACUAUUAAAAGAUGUAUAGAGUGAUGGGUGUAGUACUCUAAACAUACUGGAAUAGAUUAUAUGUGAACUAAGGAACAUUCGAAUAGAUCAUCUUCAUAGCAAAAUAUUCAUUUGGCAGUUAAUUAAAAUGUUUAUGAAAUUACAAGAUGAUCAAUAGUAAUUAUGCUCAAGAAUAGGCUCAAAGAUGAAGAGGUGCAUAAUAUAGUGUAAAGCACUAUGACUCUUGUGUUCGAAUUUCAUUAACAAUACUACCCUAUGUACGUUACGUUGUCACCGAUAGAUGUAAUGUUUGCAAAUCCGUUGUAUUCAAGUCACCAAGGCAAACUAUUUACUACAUGUGUCAAAACAAACAAUAUAAAAAUAUUAUAAAUAGAGCUCCUACUGAACUGAGGAACGAAGUUCAGUCAUAUGCUAUAUUAGGGAUAGGUAUGUUAUACUCAGUUGCUACUCAUACUACCUGCGUAUCGCAAUAUAAUAGAUCACAAGGAAACCCAACACAGUUCUAUGUAUUGUUAAAACAAAUA